UAUAAAUUCAAUAUUUGCUAGAAGAUUUUUUUUACAAUUUGUUUAAAAUAUUUUUGAAAUUUUUGUAAAUUUUUUUUUAUUACAAAAUUCAGCUAUAACGUCAAAAUAUCCGACAGGUAUUUAAAUAAAAAAAAUUUGAACGUUUCUAGAGGCAUAAAAAUUGAUCAGUUUAGCUAUGAAAUAUUAACUUCGUCAACUUCAAACCAAAAAAGCAACAAAUUCGCCCUCAACACAUUUCAUCUAUGCGAAAACUAGACGCGAAACCGCUUGCAGCUUUGACAAAUCAACACAACUUUUAAAAAAGCAAGUUUGCGCAGCGCUUAAAAAUAAUAUUGCACAGAAGCAACAAAUUAAAAAGAAAACAACAACAACCAAACUUUAGUGAAAUCUAUUACAAGCAAAAGUGCAAAAACAAAAAAAAAAGUUAAUUCGCACUGAAAAAAAAAAACACAAACAACAAGCGCGAAUGUUUUGCUCAAACGCUUGUGGCGGCACAGUUUGAGUUGCAACAUGUGCGCAUUUGCCAAAAAUGGCAACUGGAAAAGUGCAUAAAUCACGCAACUAACAACGGGCAGAAGUCAAAGCAGCAUUGCCAAUGCAACUAAAACAAGUUUCGCAGAUGAGUUGCGGCCGCCAAGUUAAGCUGCGCAGCUGCAACACGAAAAAAAAAACAAAACACGAAAACUAAAAAUUCGAAAAACACACAAUCUAAAUCAAUUGCGGCAAAGUAUUUUUCUAUUUUUUUUUCUCGUUGUGCCCAACUCGUUUAGCUUUCGGCGAAAUAGUGGCGUUAUUUUGGCAUUUCGUAGGCGUUGCGCUGAUAAUAUUAAGCGAGUAGCACAUUAAUUGUAAGCGCUCGGUAAUGGCGCUGAGAUAAAUAGUAACUCACAUACACACACAAACUCAUAUAAAAAGUUGAUAAAAAAUAUUAGUUAACGUUUCAGCAACAACAACACUUUUGUUUACUUCGUUUACUAUGCGAUUAUUGAUUGCCGCCGCUGCGGUGGCAUUUAGCUGUCCACCUUUAAAGCGCUGCUGGAAUUGAAAGAUCAAAUUGUUUUUAACUGCGUUGGCUGCUGCCUAUGUUGCCGCUCGAUUGUAAAUUAUUUUUAUUUAAGUCAUUAAUAAUUUUUGUAAAUUGCAUAAAAAUUUAUAUUAAAUAAUCUCUUAUCAAGGCUUGCUAUCAGUUAA